ACCUCUUGGCUGUCUCAGCGUGCACGGGAAAUGCUCCCAGGAUCUAACCUAAAUCCUGCGUGUUCAAAUACCUGGAGUGGAAUCCGACACUCGCCGCCGUCUCCCACCACUUUUCCAUUUUUUCCGUUUCCUGUCAUCUUCUGUGCGGCAAAACGAACAAUCUGACUUGUCAUCAUAGUGGGAAAAACAUGAAACCCAUGAAUCAUUUUCUCUAUCCAUAGCUAUCAGCCUAACAAAUCAGGAAAAAUUGUGGCCAAGAUGCUUCUACUGACAGUGAUGGGCUUGAAGGAGACAAAUUUUCUUCUAUUCUGGGUACGCUUUCAAGUUUGCCUUCAUUAACACACAAAAGGAUGAAAGGACAUAUUGUGGACAGCAGUUUCUCUCUUUGAAAUCUGCUACCUUGGUUCAGGGAGACAAAUGAGGUCCCCACCAAAUAAAGUCUCAUAGCUUUACUUCACAGUUGCAUCAUGUUUAUUUUUCUGUUAGACAGAAGGGUAAGUACACAUGGUCCUUCAAUCCCCAGUAAUAAGUGCAUCCUUGCAAAAAAGAAACAAAAACAAUAAGACUACAAAUCAUGAUGUUAACACAGAACAAUCUUUAUUUAGAUUCUAUCAUUGAUUUUGCUCCAUAAUGUUACUUACAGGUAACUUCCACCUGAGGGAUGAGUUUAUUUUUAAAUGUGAAAUCGGGUCAACAUUUUAA